GUUUUAAUAGUUUAAAAUACUAAAACAUUAGUCUUGUAAACUAAAAAUAAUAAUUAUAUUUUAAAACU
rnacentral:tRNA from 1 species